rnacentral:rRNA from 1 species
GACGAACGCUGGCGGCGUGCCUAAUACAUGCAAGUCGAACGCAGUGGGGCCGGGUGAGUAACACGUGGGUAACCUCCCAUCAGAGGGGAUAACACUUGGAAACAGGUUCUAACCCGAUAUAUUGGAGCGGCCGAUAUCGGAUUAGCUAGUUGGUGGGGUAACGGCUCACCAAGGCCACGAUGCAUAGCCGACCUGAGAGUGUGAUCGGCCAAACUGGGACUGAGACACGGCCCAGACUCCUACGGGAGGCAGCAGUAGGGAAUCUUCGGCAAUGGACGAAAGUCUGACCGAGCAACGCCGCGUGAGUGAAGAAGGUUGUCGGAUCGUAAAACUCUGUUGUUAGAGAAGCGGUAUCUAACCAGAAAGCCACGGCUAACUACGUGCCAGCAGCCGCGGUAAUA